rnacentral:rRNA from 1 species
GAUGAACGCUGGCGGCGUGCCUAAUACAUGCAAGUCGAGCGAACGGACGAGAAGCUUGCUUCUCUGAUGUUAGCGGCGGACGGGUGAGUAACACGUGGAUAACCUACCUAUAAGACUGGGAUAACUUCGGGAAACCGGAGCUAAUACCGGAUAAUAUUUUGAACAGCAUGGUUCAAAAGUGAAAGACGGUCUUGCUGUCACUUAUAGAUGGAUCCGCGCUGCAUUAGCUAGUUGGUAAGGUAACGGCUUACCAAGGCAACGAUGCAUAGCCGACCUGAGAGGGUGAACGGCCACACUGGAACUGAGACACGUUCCUGACUCCUACGGGAGGCAGCAGUAGGGAAUCUUCCGAAAUGGGCGAAAGCCUGACGGAGCAACGCCGCGUGAGUGAUGAAGGUCUUCGGAUCGUAAAACUCUGUUAUUAGGGAAGAACAUAUGCGUAAGUAACUGUGCACAUCUUGACGGUACCUAAUCAGAAAGCCACGGCUAACUACGUG